UACGGAGGGGGCAAGCGUUGUUCGGAAUUACUGGGCGUAAAGGGCGCGUAGGCGGACCUUCAAGUCAGGGGUGAAAGGCCUGGGCUCAACCUGGGAACUGCCUUUGAAACUGGAGGUCUUGAGUCCGGGAGAGGAUGGCGGAAUUCCCAGUGUAGAGGUGAAAUUCGUAGAUAUUGGGAAGGACACCGGUGGCGAAGGCGGCCAUCGGGUCCGGCACUGACGAUGAGGCGCGAAAGCGUGGGGAGCAAACAGG
rnacentral:rRNA from 1 species